CGCACGGGUGAGUAACACGUAUCCAACCUGCCGUCUACUCUUGGACAGCCUUCUGAAAGGAAGAUUAAUACAAGAUGGCAUCAUGAGUCCGCAUGUUCACAUGAUUAAAGGUAUUCCGGUAGACGAUGGGGAUGCGUUCCAUUAGAUAGUAGGCGGGGUAACGGCCCACCUAGUCUUCGAUGGACAGGGGUUCUGAGAGGAAGGUCCCCCACAUUGGAACUGAGACACGGUCCAA
rnacentral:rRNA from 1 species